UGGGCGUAAAGCGCGUGUAGGCGGUUUGUUAAGUCUGAUGUGAAAGCCCCGGGCUCAACCCGGGAAGUGCAUUGGAUACUGGCAGACUUGAAUACGGGAGAGGGUAGUGGAAUUCCUGGUGUAGGAGUGAAAUCCGUAGAUAUCAGGAGGAACACCGGUGGCGAAGGCGGCUGCCUGGACCGAUAUUGACGCUGAGACGCGAAAGCGUGGGUAGCAAACAGGAUUAGAUACCCUGGUAGUCCACGCCGUAAACGAUGAGUACUAGGUGUUGCGGG
rnacentral:rRNA from 1 species